AAGCCGACAGCUUGCUGUUGGUGGAUGAGUGGCGAACGGGUGAGUAACACGUGAGUAACCUGCCCCUGAUUUCGGGAUAAGCCUGGGAAACUGGGUCUAAUACCGGAUAUGACCUCCUGUCGCAUGAUGGGUGGUGGAAAGUUUUUCGAUCGGGGAUGGGCUCGCGGCCUAUCAGCUUGUUGGUGGGGUAAUGGCCUACCAAGGCGACGACGGGUAGCCGGCCUGAGAGGGCGACCGGCCACACUGGGACUGAGACACGGCCCAGACUCCUACGGGAGGCAGCAGUGGGGAAUAUUGCACAAUGGGGGAAACCCUGAUGCAGCGACGCAGCGUGCGGGAUGACGGCCUUCGGGUUGUAAACCGCUUUCAGCAGGGAAGAAGCGAAAGUGACGGUACCUGCAGAAGAAGUACCGGCUAACUACGUGCCAGCAGCCGCGGUAAUACGUAGGGUACGAGCGUUGUCCGGAAUUAUUGGGCGUAAAGAGCUCGUAGGUGGUUGGUCACGUCUGCUGUGGAAACGCAACGCUUAACGUUGCGCGUGCAGUGGGUACGGGCUGACUAGAGUGCAGUAGGGGAGUCUGGAAUUCCUGGUGUAGCGGUGAAAUGCGCAGAUAUCAGGAGGAACACCGGUGGCGAAGGCGGGACUCUGGGCUGUAACUGACACUGAGGAGCGAAAGCAUGGGGAGCGAACAGGAUUAGAUACCCUGGUAGUCCAUGCCGUAAACGUUGGGCACUAGGUGU
rnacentral:rRNA from 1 species